rfam:Nesiotobacter exalbescens strain WB1-6 contig_52, whole genome shotgun sequence.
GAGAGCGCCUGAUUUGCAUUCAGGAGGUCAGGAGUUCGAUCCUCCUAGGCUCCA